rnacentral:rRNA from 1 species
GUCCUAGCUGUAAACCAUGGGCACUGGGUAGGGGACUCGCCGAUGGGUUCCCUGCCGCAGCGAAAGCGUGAAGUGCCCCGCCUGGGGAGUAUGGUCGCAAGGCUGAAACUCAAAGGAAUUGACGGGGGCGUCACACAAGCGGUGGAGCAUGUGGCUUAAUUCGAGGCUACGCGCAAAACCUUAUCCCAGGCUUGACAUGCACGGAUUAGCCGGCGGAAACGUCGGUGAGGCCGCAAGGUACAACGUGCACAGGUGCUGCAUGGCUGUCGU